rnacentral:sRNA from 1 species
UUAACAGUCCUGGAGAUUCACCGAUAAGGUCAAGCACUGACAAUCCUAGCUUCCCCCCACUGCCCUGCCAAUGAGUCUCAACCCUUACGCAGAGGGACUAUUUAUAAGGAAUGAGGGGGCGGGUCAGUCUUCAUGCCCAUUUGGUCCUUAGCCUCU